AUUGAACGCUGGCGGCAGGCUUAACACAUGCAAGUCGAGCGAGCGGCGGACGGGUGAGUAAUGUCUGGGGAUCUGCCUGAUAGAGGGGGAUAACUACUGGAAACGGUGGCUAAUACCGCAUACUAUCAGAUGUGCCCAUAUGGGAUUAGCUAGUAGGUGGGGUAAAGGCUCACCUAGGCGACGAGCCCUAGCUGGUCUGAGAGGAUGACCAGCCACACUGGGACUGAGACACGGUCCAGACUCCGACGGGAGGCAGCAGUGGGGAAUAUUGCACAAUGGGCGCAAGCCUGAUGCAGCCAUGCCGCGUGUGUGAAGAAGGCCUGCGGGUUGUAAAGCACUUUCAGCGAGGAGGCGUUACCCGCAGAAGAAGCACCGGCUAACUCCGUGCCAGCAGCCGCGGUAAUAC
rnacentral:rRNA from 1 species